AUACUUACCUGGCAGGGGAGACACCAUGAUCAAGCAGGUGGUUUUCCCAGGGCGAGGCUCAUCCCUUGCACUCCGCGUGUGCUGACCCCUGCGAUUUCCCCAAAUGCGGGAAACUUGACUGCAUAAUUUGUUUUUUUCUUUUUUUUUUUUUUUAUGAGGAAAUAC